UCUAGGUCAAAACUUAACCCUUACAGCUCCUCAUGCCAUAGAGACUUUGCUGCGAAGUGCUUCUGGCAAAUGGAUGUCACAUGCUCCCAUUUACAGUAUCAGAGUUUAUUAUUGGAUCAGCCUCCUUUAACUUUCUCUCCCACAAGGUAUUUAGAUCCAGCACCUUUACUCCCAGAUCCAGACUUCACCACACCUGUCCAUGACUGCCAGGAACUGUUAGAGACCACCGAAACUGCCGACCUGGAUCUCCAAGAUGUGCCUUUAAAGGAAGCGGAUACCACCAUGUUUACAGACGGUAGCAGCUUCCUUGAGCAGGGAGUUUGAAAGCCUGGUGCGGCCAUCACUAUGGAGAUGGAUAUUCUAUGGGCCCAAGCUCUACCAGCUGGCACCCCAGCUCCGAGAGCUGAGCUGGUUGCCCUCACACAGGCUCUCCGAUGGGGCAAGGACACACGUACUAACAUUUACACUGACAGUAGGUAUGCCUUCGCUACUGUGCAUGUACACGGAGCCAUCUAUCAAGAGCGUGGGCUACUCACCUCAGCAGGAAAGACUACCAAAAACAAAGAAGAAAUUCUAGCCCUGCUUGAAGCCAGAUGGCUCCCUCUGCAGGUGGUUGUAAUUCACUGCAAAGGACACGUUGCCCGUGGUAACCAGAGGGCCGACUCUGCAGCCCAGGAGGCAGCAUGGCUUCCAGUCGCGCCUCUAACCUUACUGCCUGCAGUGUCCUUUCCACAGCCAGACUUGCCAGAUCAUCCGGUAUACUCAGCAGAGGAAGUAAAACUGGCUUCGAAUCUCCAGGAGGAGCAAAAGUGACCCAGCUCCUAAGGGGACGUUUCAAGAUCCCCCACCUUCAGAACUUAGCGAACCAAGCAGCUCUCUGGUGUACGGCUUGUGCUCAGGUAAACGCCAAGCAAGGUCCUAAAUCCAGCUCAAGCCACCGCCUCCGAGGAGAAAGGUGGGAAAUUGACUUUACAGAAAUAAAACCACACCGGGCUAGGUACAAAUACGUUCUGGUACUAGUAGACACUUUUUCUGGAUAGACUGAGGCAUUUACCACCAAAAAUGAGACUGCCACCAUGGUAGUUAAGUUUUUACUCAAUGAAAUCAUCCUUUGACAUAGGCUGCCUGCUGCCAUAGGGUCUGAUAAUGGACCAGCCUUCACGUCAUCCAUAGCUCAGUCAGUCAGUAAGGCAUUAAACAUUCAAUGGAAGCUCCAUUGUGCCUAUCAACCCCAGGGCUCUAGGCAGGUAGAAAGCAUGAACCGCACCCUAAAAAGUACUCUUACAAAAUUGAUCUUAGAGACCAGUGAGAAUUGGGUAAGACUCCUUUCUUCAGCCCUUCUUAGAGUAAGAUGCACUCCUUACCGGGCUAGGUUUUCACCUUUUGAAAUCAUGUAAGGGAUGGCGCCGCCUACCUUGUCUAAGCUAAGGGAUACCCAUUUAGCAGAAAUAUCACAAGCUAAUUUAUUACAGUACCUGCAGUCUCUCCAACAAGUAAUAGAUAUCAUCCAGCCACGUAUCCGGGGAGCUCAUCCCAAUCCAGUUCCUGACUAGAAAGGGCCCUGCCACUAAUUCCAGCUAGGUGGCCUGGUGUUUGUUAAAAAGUUCCAGAAAGAAGGACUCACUCCUGCUUGGAAAGGACCUCAUACUGUCAUCCUCACCACGCCGACGGCUCUGAAGUCGGACAGCAUUCCUGCUUAGAUUCAUCACUCCCGCAUCAAAAGGCCAACAAAGCCUAGCAGGAAACACAGGUCCCCAAGGCUGGGCCAGGUCCCUUAAAACUGCACCUAAGUCAAGUGAAGCCAUUAGAUUAAUCUUUUUAUUUACCUCUCUUGUUUGUUUCCACCUGUUAUGCCCUUUGUGCCUUCCUAUUUCUUUCUCCUCACUUCUUUCACGACAGGACGUGUGCUUGCAAGCACUAUUUGGAAGACAGGAACCUCCAAGGAAGUCUCUUUUGCAGUCAAUUUGUGUGCUUUGUUCCCAGAACCUGCCCAUACCGAAGAGGAACAACACAUGCCGGUCAUGGGAGCAGGGAACAUCGACCUUGCUGCAGGAUUUAGACACUCCGGGAGCCAGACUGUAUGUGGGAGCUCCAAAGGUGCAGAAAAAGGACUCCAAAAUGUUGACUUUUACUAUGUCCUGGAAAUCACCCUGACUCUAGUUGUCGAGAUACUUGCCAGUUUUUCUGCCCUGACUGGCCAUGUGUAACUUUAGCCACUUGCUCUGGGGGAUCAACCUGAUCUUCGACUCUUUCCAUAGCUCGUGCUUCCUGUCCUAGACUGUGUACUGGAAAAAAACGUAAUCCUCUUAACUAUAACCGUCAUAACCCUAAUUUAGCUCAAUGGUAUUAUGGCAUGUCAUGAGGAUUAAGGCUUUAUAUCCCAGGAUUUGAUGUUGGAACUAUAUUCACCAUCCAGAAGAAAAUCUUGGUCUCAUGGAGCCCUCCUAAGCCAAUUAGACCUUUAACUGAUCUAGGCGACCCUUUGUUGCAAAAACACCCAGACAAGGUCGAUUUAACUGUUCCACCGCCAUUCCUAGUUCCUAAACCCCAGCUACAACGACGACAUCUCCAACCCAGCCUGAUGUCCAUUCUAGGCGGGGUACGUCACCUCCUUAAUCUUGCCCAGCCUAAACUAGCUCAAGAUUGUUGGCUAUGUUUAAAGGCCAAGCCCCCUUAUUAUGUGGGAUUAGGAGUAGAAGCCAUGCUUAAAAGUGACCCUGUUUCUUGUCGUGCACGACCCCGUAUCCUCACACUAGGAGAUGUGUCUGGGAAUGCUUCUUGUCUAAUUAGCACCUGAUAUAACUUACCUGCUUCUCCCUUUCAGGCUACUUGUAACCAGUCCCUGCUUACUUCCUUAAGCACCUCAGUCUCCUACCAGGCACCUAACAAUACCUGUCUAGCCUGCACUUCAGGUCUCACUCGCUGCAUCAAUAGGACUGAACCAGGACCUCUCCUGUGCCUGUUAGUUCACGUGCUUCCCCAGGUAUAUGUGUACAGUAGGCCAGAAGGACAACUUCUCAUCGCUUCCCCUGAAUUACAUCCCAGAUUUCGCUGAGCCACCCCACUCCUUGUACCCCUCCUGGCUGGCCUUAACGUAGCCAGAUCAGCCAUCCUUUCUGAGCAGCCACCCAUAGGUAGAAGAAGCCUGUGGAUAGGCUCUUGCUGUUUGCUACCUCCCCCACUGGUAACCUG